rnacentral:rRNA from 1 species
CUUGAACGCUGGCGGCAUGCUUUACACAUGCAAGUCGAACGGUAACAGGUUAAGCUGACGAGUGGCGAACGGGUGAGUAAUGCAUCGGAACGUGCCCGGUCGUGGGGGAUAACGCAGCGAAAGCUGCGCUAAUACCGCAUACGAUCUGAGGAUGAAAGCGGGGGACCGUAAGGCCUCGCGCGAUCGGAGCGGCCGAUGUCAGAUUAGGUAGUUGGUGGGGUAAAGGCUCACCAAGCCAACGAUCUGUAGCUGGUCUGAGAGGACGACCAGCCACACUGGGACUGAGACACGGCCCAGACUCCUACGGGAGGCAGCAGUGGGGAAUUUUGGACAAUGGGCGAAAGCCUGAUCCAGCAAUGCCGCGAGCAGGAAGAAGGCCUUCGGGUUGUAAACUGCUUUUGUACGGAGCGAAAAGGUCUCCUCUAAUACAGGGGGCUCAUGACGGUACCGUAAGAAUAAGCACCGGCUAACUACGUGCCAGCAGCCGCAGUAA